CCUACGGGUGGCAGCAGUGAGGAAUAUUGGUCAAUGGACGAGAGUCUGAACCAGCCAAGUAGCGUGAAGGAUGACUGCCCUAUGGGUUGUAAACUUCUUUUAUAUGGGAAUAAAACAGGGUAUGCAUACCCUCUUGUAUGUACCAUAUGAAUAAGGAUCGGCUAACUCCGUGCCAGCAGCCGCGGUAAUACGGAGGAUCCGAGCGUUAUCCGGUUUUAUUGGGUUUAAAGGGAGCGUAGGUGGAUUGUUAAGUCAGUUGUGAAAGUUUGCGGCUCAACCGUAAAAUUGCAGUUGAAACUGGCAGUCUUGAGUACAGUAGAGGUGGGCGGAAUUCGUGGUGUAGCGGGGAAAUGCUUAGAUAUCACGAAGAACUCCGAUUGCGAAGGCAGCUUACUGGACUGCAACUGACACUGAUGCUCGAAAGCGUGGGGAGCAAACAGGAUUAGAUACCCCAGUAGUC
rnacentral:rRNA from 1 species